GGCGAGCGUUAUCCGGAUUUAUUGGGCGUAAAGCGCAUGCAGGUGGCUAGGUAAGUCGGGUGUGAAAGCCCCGGACUUAAUCCGGGGAGGUCAUUCGAUACUGCUUGGCUUGAGAGCGGGAGAGGGAAGUGGAAUUCUCGGUGUAGUGGUGAUAUGCGUAGAUAUCGAGAGGAACACCAGUGGCGAAGGCGGCUUCCUGGCCCGCAUCUGACACUAAGAUGCGAAAGCGUGGGUAGCAAACGGACUUAGAUACUCCGGUAGUCCACGCUGUAAACGAUGGGUACUAGGUGUAGGGGGUGUAAAACUCUCUGUGCCAUAGUUAACGCACUAAGUACCCCGCCUGGGGACUACGGUCGCAAGGCUAAAACUCAAAGGAAUUGACGGGGGCCCGCACAAGCAGCGGAGCGUGUGGUUCAAUUCGAAGAUACACGAAGAACCUUACCUGGGCUUGACAUGUUGGUAGUAGUGAAGCGAAAGCGGAACGAUCCUUCGGGAAGCCAUCACAGGUGCUGCAUGGCUGUCGUCAGCUCGUGCCGUGAGGUGUUGGGUUAAGUCCUGUAACGAGCGCAACCCUCGCUGCCAGUUACAAGUGUCUGGCGGGACUGCCGGUGACAAACCGGAGGAAGGUGGGGAUGACGUCAAGUCAGCAUGGCCUUUAUGUCCAGGGCUACACACACGCUACAAUGGCCGGUACAAUAGGUUGCCAAGUCGUGAGGCGGAGCUAAUCCUCAAAACCGGUCUCAGUUCGAAUUGCAGGCUGCAACCCGCCUGCAUGAAGUUGGAGUUGCUAGUAAACGCGCGUCAGCAAUAGUGCGUUGAAUACGUUCCCGGGCAUUGUACACACCGCCCGUCACGUCAUGGGAGUUGGUACACCUGAAGACAGUGGGCU
rnacentral:rRNA from 1 species